rnacentral:rRNA from 1 species
ACAAUGAAGAGUUUGAUCCUGGCUCAGGAUGAACGCUAGCUACAGGCUUAACACAUGCAAGUCGAGGGGCAGCAUUUCAGUUUGCUUGCAAACUGGAGAUGGCGACCGGCGCACGGGUGAGUAACACGUAUCCAACCUGCCGAUAACUCGGGGAUAGCCUUUCGAAAGAAAGAUUAAUACCCGAUGGUAUAAUCAGACCGCAUGGUCUUGUUAUUAAAGAAUUUCGGUUAUCGAUGGGGAUGCGUUCCAUUAGGCAGUUGGUGAGGUAACGGCUCACCAAACCUUCGAUGGAUAGGGGUUCUGAGAGGAAGGUCCCCCCACAUUGGAACUGAGACACGGUCCAAACUCCUACGGGAGGCAGCAGUGAGGAAUAUUGGUCAAUGGGCGCAGGCCUGAACCAGCCAAGUAGCGUGAAGGAUGACUGCCCUAUGGGUUGUAAACUUCUUUUAUAUGGGAAUAAAGUUUUCCACGUGUGGAAUUUUGUAUGUACCAUAUGAAUAAGGAUCGGCUAACUCCGUGCCAGCAGCCGCGGUAAUACGGAGGAUCCGAGCGUUAUCCGGAUUUAUUGGGUUUAAAGGGAGCGUAGGUGGACAGUUAAGUCAGUUGUGAAAGUUUGCGGCUCAACCGUAAAAUUGCAGUUGAUACUGGCUGUCUUGAGUACAGUAGAGGUGGGCGGAAUUCGUGGUGUAGCGGUGAAAUGCUUAGAUAUCACGAAGAACUCCGAUUGCGAAGGCAGCUCACUGGACUGCAACUGACACUGAUGCUCGAAAGUGUGGGUAUCAAACAGGAUUAGAUACCCUGGUAGUCCACACAGUAAACGAUGAAUACUCGCUGUUUGCGAUAUACAGUAAGCGGCCAAGCGAAAGCAUUAAGUAUUCCACCUGGGGAGUACGCCGGCAACGGUGAAACUCAAAGGAAUUGACGGGGGCCCGCACAAGCGGAGGAACAUGUGGUUUAAUUCGAUGAUACGCGAGGAACCUUACCCGGGCUUAAAUUGCAUUUGAAUAUAUUGGAAACAGUAUAGUCGUAAGACAAAUGUGAAGGUGCUGCAUGGUUGUCGUCAGCUCGUGCCGUGAGGUGUCGGCUUAAGUGCCAUAACGAGCGCAACCCUUAUCUUUAGUUACUAACAGGUCAUGCUGAGGACUCUAGAGAGACUGCCGUCGUAAGAUGUGAGGAAGGUGGGGAUGACGUCAAAUCAGCACGGCCCUUACGUCCGGGGCUACACACGUGUUACAAUGGGGGGUACAGAAGGCAGCUACCUGGUGACAGGAUGCUAAUCCCAAAAGCCUCUCUCAGUUCGGAUCGAAGUCUGCAACCCGACUUCGUGAAGCUGGAUUCGCUAGUAAUCGCGCAUCAGCCAUGGCGCGGUGAAUACGUUCCCGGGCCUUGUACACACCGCCCGUCAAGCCAUGAAAGCCGGGGGUACCUGAAGUACGUAACCGCAAGGAGCGUCCUAGGGUAAAACUGGUAAUUGGGGCUAAGUCGUAACAAGGUAGCCGUACCGGAAGGUGCGGCUGGAACACCUCCUUU